rnacentral:sRNA from 12 species
UCCUGACAGGCUGCGCUGUGUAGUCUGACAUUAGCCACGACAGGAGACGUACAUG